UACGAGUGCUUCGAGCGUUAUCCGGAAUCACUGGGCUUAAAGCGUGUGUAGGCGGGCGGGCAAGUACCUUGUGAAAUCCCACGGCUCAACCGUGGAACGGCUGGGUAUACUGCCUGUCUUGAGCCAACUAGGGGCGAGCGGAACAGACGGUGGAGCGGUGAAAUGCGUAGAUAUCGGAAGGAACACCGAUGGCGAAAGCAGCGCGCUGGACCUUUACUGACGCUGAGGCGCGAAAGCGUGGGGAGCGAUCCGG
rnacentral:rRNA from 1 species